rnacentral:misc_RNA from 1 species
AAGACUAUAGACCUGCGGAGUACCUGCGGAGGGAUCAUUAAAGAGAAAACUGCCCUUUGGGUAGAUCUCCCACCCUUUGUUUACCUUACCUUUGUUGCUUUGGCAGGCCCGUCUUCUGACCACCGGCUUUAGCUGGUCCGUGCCUGCCAGAGGACCCCAAACUCUUAAUUUUAAGUUGUCCGAGUCUUAUAAAAUAGUAAAAACUUUUAGCAACGGAUCUCUAGAUCGGAAGAGCACACG